AAAUAAGGAAAAAAAAUAAUAAGAACAAAGAAAAAAUAUGACAGUUUCCUGUCAAAUAAAUGUUCUUCGAAAUUACUCACAUCUAAAACAUUAUCUUGAUUUUAGUUUUUUACUAAUGUAACAUCCAAUCAAUAUUGGAACAUAAAAAAAUAGAGCAUACAGAGUGAGUUACCCAUAUUCGCCGCAUAGUUCGUUCAUUUCCACUUACAUCCGACCUACUUUCGAAUAUUUGGAACUUUUUCUGUAGGUUUCAGAAAUUUUACUAUAUGAAAACAAUGUUUGAUAAAGGAAUUAUCUUCAAAACAUUGAUUAAGUGUUUUAAAAUUGUAUGAUUUACUUUAACCUCGGCGG
rnacentral:lncRNA from 1 species